UGGAUGGAUGGGAUAACUAUGAUGGAGGAUGGAUGGGUGACUGCAGAUGGAUGGGAUAACUAUAGGUGGAUGGAUGGGUGAACUGCAGAUGGAUGGAUGGGUGGAAUGCAGAUGGAUGGGUGAACUGCAGAUGGAUGGGAGAACCAUGAUGGAUGGGUGACCUGCAGUGGAUGGUGAACGGUAGAUGGAUGGGUGAACUGUAGAUGGAUGGAUGGCUGAACUGCAGAUGGUGUGCGAACUGCAUAUGAUGGGGAACUAUAGAUGGUGGAUGGGAUAACUAUAGAUGGAUGGAUGGAUGGGUGACCUGCAGAUGGAUGGGAGAACUAUAGAUGGAUGGAUGGGUGUGUGUGAACUGCAGAGUGGAUGGGUGAACUGAGGAUGGGUGAAUGCAGAUGUAUGGGAGAACCUAUAGAUGGAUGGGUGACCUGCAGAUGGAUGGGAGAACUAGAGGAUGGAUGGAUGGGUGAACUGCAGAUGGAUGUGCGAACUGCAUAUGGAUGGGAG
rnacentral:lncRNA from 1 species